CACAUUGUACUUGCCGUGGUGGAGCGGUUCUUCAUCUCACUCAUUGAUGGCGGCGGAGAUCGGCGGCAUGGCGCUGUCGAGGCUCGGCGUCUGAUGCACGGAGAUGGACUCGCGCAGGAAGAGGUAGCUGUCUGGCGUUAUGGUGACGUCAAUGGCAGAAGUGGCCUUCACAAAGUAGAAGACUCAAUAUAAUCUGAAGUCAGAUUUGUGGAAGAUGGCGGCAACGACACAAGAGUGUGUCUGACCGGAUUGUGCCCCAGACCCGGUAUGUGGCUCGGCUGGUGCUUCCGGCUUUUGAUGUUAGGUUUAGGUGAGUGGUUUGGGUAGUGGCCUAGUUAGCAUCCCUUCAUCAUAUGGAUAAGAGUAGCGGCAUAUGUUGCCAAGAUGGUGGAUUCAGGUAUAUUGUUUGUAAUACAUUGUAAGGUCCUCGUGAAUAAUUAAUAAAGUGGCCGUAUGCAUCUCGCAGAUGCAGAGGCCGGGGGUCAUCCUCCUUUUCUAAAAAAAAAUCAGGAGGUUGGCCAGAUAUUGUGUUUUGUAUUGCCUUCGCAUAUGUCUAACCUCCAUACUCUUGCCCCAUCUAUUAUCUUGACUUCUCGUUUGUGUACUUUAUUUCCAGGGGAAUCAUAUGUAUGCACAACUCUCUCCCGAGGUAGUUGAACGGUUGCAGGACACGCUGGUUAAGGGAAAGGUUUUCCUCCUGAAAAAUUUCCUUUGCAAUAUGAUGCAGUUUACAGGGCUAAGCACAACUGUGUGCAUCCCGAUCUUGAGGGUGAUUUCCUAUCUUGCACUUAUACUCUAUCUAUGUUUGCGGAGAUUCUUAUGCCUGCAGGCAUUGCUCCCUAUUUCAGUGGUUGUUCCUUGAGUUCUCUAUGUUGUUUUUGUACCUUUCCUAGUUUUUCCAUUCACGUAGUUUUAUGCUUUUACUUGUUUAGAUGUGAUUUGCAAGAAAACUGUUGUUUCAGACAUGGUGCUCAUUUACUCGUAUUAUCAAAAGCAGCCUUCUGACACUAGGACGAUUACUGAUCUAUGGUGGAUCUCUAGCCUGCGUUGCCGCAACAUAUUUCUUCUUGCCAUGUUGGAACUAUAACCUUGUUAUUAACUGCAAGGAUCCUAGAUUAGGCUUUUCUUUGGGGCAAUCAUGCAAAUGAAUUUCCCGUUGAUGAGGUGCUUACCGCAAGUGAGAAGGAUGUUGUCAUUGUGAUCUCUGUGAGCAUGCUACCCAAAAGAUGUUAAAAGUAGCAGUGCCACAUGUCAUUGGUACAUCAAUGAGCAUUUUCCUGACAUACUUUACCUCGGUAAUAGGUGCGCGAUGAUGGUGUCCCGGCUAAGGGGUCUCGCACCACAUCGGUUCUCGGCCAGGUGAGCAAGGCUAAGAACACCUAAGUCGGUUCCGUCUUGGGCCACUUUGGGUGGCCCAUGACGAAAUACAUGAAGAUUCCGGAAGACUUGGAGUAUAAUCCAAGGAUAUAUACCAGAGCCGUGGAGGACUCUACUUCCACCAACAUAUCCUACCUAGUCCUAUAAACCUAGGCCCUUGGUUUGUUAUAUAAGCCAGGGGCCGGGCUCAUCGGAGAUCCAUCCCUCCGGGAGGGGUAACUCGAAGCCAUCAUCAUCGCCAACACUCUGAUCAUCAUCUCUAUCAACAUCUUCAUCAACACUGUCAUCUUCAUCAACUCCCUUCACCCGAUCUCUCUGUUUUAUGAACAUUCUUCUCAGAUCCCUUGCUGACAUUAGUUUCUGCUGUUGAUUACUCCUUGUAGUUGAUGAUUAGAAUUUUUAUUGGUGAAAGAUUCAUAUAUCUCCACUGAUCAUGAUACAUA